GACGAACGCUGGCGGCGUGCCUAAUACAUGCAAGUAGAACGCUGAAGAGAGGAGCUUGCUCUUCUUGGAUGAGUUGCGAACGGGUGAGUAACGCGUAGGUAACCUGCCUUGUAGCGGGGGAUAACUAUUGGAAACGAUAGCUAAUACCGCAUAACAAUGGAUGACACAUGUCAUUUAUUUGAAAGGGGCAAUUGCUCCACUACAAGAUGGACCUGCGUUGUAUUAGCUAGUAGGUGAGGUAAUGGCUCACCUAGGCGACGAUACAUAGCCGACCUGAGAGGGUGAUCGGACACACUGGGACUGAGACACGGCCCAGACUCCUACGGGAGGCAGCAGUAGGGAAUCUUCGGCAAUGGGGGCAACCCUGACCGAGCAACGCCGCGUGAGUGAAGAAGGUUUUCGGAUCGUAAAGCUCUGUUGUAAGUCAAGAACGGGUGUGAGAGUGGAAAGUUCACACUGUGACGGUAGCUUACCAGAAAGGGACGGCUAACUACGUG
rnacentral:rRNA from 1 species